UUUCCCACCGGGUACUUGCCCGCUCCAACGUGGCCCCCACCACAAACCCACAGCCAUGUGGGCCGUACCAACUCCAGACCCCACGUGUCAGUGACCGCAAAUCCCUCCGUUCUCCGAACCGAGGCAGGCGACCCAGCUGUUGCCACAACUGCCUCCUCCUCGCCGCCUCGCGCCUCCCCUGGUUUCCCGCCGUCACGCGAGCUCACAGCUCAGGGGCCAGCUCGGCAGCACCACGCCGACGCCACGCGGCGAGCUUGGAGUUUCUCCAGGGCUUCUAAGGCAGGGUACUCCGAGCGGAGCCAAUCGGAGGGGAGGCGCCUGCCGCUGCAUACUACUGAUUUGGUGGGCGGGGAGUCGAGGGAUGGGAGAUCUGGCUUCGGCGGCGGUGGCGAGAUGGUGAGCGCGGGCACCAGACGGAGCGGCCCGGCGCGAGUCGCAGCAAGGGGCGGCGCGGGGCCCGGGAGCCCUCGCGUCUCUGCUGCCGCGGCUGCUUUGGCUGCGUUGCGGCGCAGGUGGUGGGCGCCCUCGGGCGCGUCGCUGGAGCGCGCCGCGCGCGCGUUCCUGCUGGCCUCCGCGGCGCUGGUCCUCAGCUGCGCGCUCUACCUCUACGUGUUCCGGUACGUCGGCCGGGGGCGCGGGGUGGCCGCGGGCUUCGCCGAAGACGGCCUCGACAGCGAGCCGUGCGACGUGUUCGACGGCGCCUGGGUGCCCGAUGCGGCCCACCACACGCUCUACAACAGCUCCGAGUGCCCGUUCGCGGAGCGGGGGUUCGACUGCCUGACCAACGGGCGGCAGGACACGGGUUACCUCAGGUGGCGGUGGAAGCCGCGGCGCUGCGACGUGCCGCGGUUCGCCGCGCGGGCGGCGCUGGAGCGCCUGCGCGGGAAGCGGGUGGUGUUCGUGGGGGACUCCAUGAGCCGCACGCAGUGGGAGUCCUUCAUCUGCAUGCUCAUGACCGGGGUGGACGACCCCAGGACCGUCUACGAGGUGAACGGGAAUGAGAUCACCAAGAUCAUACGGCACCUGGCGGUUAGGUUUGCGUCGCACGGCCUCACCGUGGAGUUCUUCCGGUCGGUGUUCCUUGUGCAGCAGCACCCUGCGCCGCGGCACGCCCCGAAGAGGGUCAAGUCGACCUUGAGGCUGGACAGGAUGGAUGAUUUCAGCCGGAAAUGGGCGAAUGCGGAUGUGCUGAUUUUCAACACCGGGCAUUGGUGGACUCCGACAAAAUUAUUUGAUACGGGUUGCUAUUUUCAGUCUGGACAUGCUCUUAAAUUGGGUACAACCAUCGAUGCUGCUUUCAGGAUGGCAUUGGAGACCUGGGCUUCAUGGGUGGAAAAAAGAGUUGAUUUAAACCAAACACAUGUCUUCUUUCGCACAUAUGAGCCAUCCCAUUGGAGCGACCCAAGCCAAAAGACAUGUGAAGUAACAGAACAGCCUUCAUCUGAGGCCAAAGGAAAUGAUAAGAGUGAAUUUGGAGUUAUACUUGCUGAUGUUGUGGCAAAAAUGAGCUCUCCUGUUACUGUACUAAAUGUAACUUUAAUGGGAGCGUUCAGAAGUGAUGCUCAUGUUGGCAAUUGGAGUUAUCCUCCAACUAUACUUGAUUGCAGCCACUGGUGUCUCCCUGGAGUCCCCGAUGCUUGGAAUGAACUAGUAUUUUCGUACCUUUUAACAAAUGAUUGGUGAAAGAUGACGGGGUGACUGUUGACUGUUGUGACAGAAACAUGAUUCACCACACUUGUGUAUCUUGAUAUUUAAUCUUUUCAGCAAUUGAGGAUUAACAUACGUCCUGGGAACAGCUGCAUCUGUCAGUUGCACAGGUUGGUGAAACAUGGUGGCGUAAAUGUUGUGGCAGCAUACUCGAUUUACCGUUACCUGUGUAUUGUGAUAUUUGAUUUUAUCAGCUAUAGAGGAUUAAGAUCUAUAGAGGGAUUAAGAUACGUCCUGGAAGCACUACAUUUGCUAGGUGGCUCUCUGGACUUCCGCAUUCUUUCCUUGACACAUACAAGGUGAAGCAUGCAUCCUGGUGUGUAAAUUUUGUAUCAUUUCUUUUGGUUGCUGAGGAUUAGAAAUCAAUGACAUUUCGCCAGCCUGUAUGUACUAACAGGUCAUUUAUGUUGUCAAAAUCAAAUAAGUGUUU